CUGCGACUAAUCACAGAGGGAGGGAGGUGCUGAGGUGUGCGGGGCGAAGCGGGGAUUCCAGCCCUGCCUUGGGCUGACCCAUGGACAGGUCCAGAGCCCCGCACCUGCAGUUGCUGCUUGGCUGCAUGGUGACACCAGUUGAGAACUUCCUUGGGGGACACUUUCAGCCCCCUGCGACAGGGAAUAAUGUCCCUGAACCAGACGUAAAGACCUGGACAGCGGCGCGAUCUGCUGCUCAGAGGAUCAAGCGCACCUGGGAGAGGUUCUGAAUCACGGAGGCUGCGAGGGAACCGGUAAUGGGUCACUACACUAGGCGCAGAAGCCCGGAGCAUGGCAAGGAGACGGUGCUGCUGGAAGGUGGUGACAGGAUCCUGGACACUGAUGUGGUUCUCACAUCUUGCUGAAAUAUGAUCCCUCGGACCUGAUGCCGACAGGAGUUGAGGACGAGGAGCAGCUUGGGGCUAUAGGGGAUCUUUGGAUUUGAAGAAAAGAAUCAAAUUCCUUUCCACCCAAAAUAUGACAGCACCUGUGGUCCAGGGCUGGAGACCAUAGUGGAUGCCCAGCAGACAACUUCCUGGAAUUAUGGCAUCCCCAGCAGACCUGGAGGUGAAAAGAGAAACUAGGCUCCAAAGGGGACACCAGUGCUGUGUUGGGGAGAGAGGAGCACACCAUGGCACCCCACUCUGAAGAAUGCGAGUGAGAAGAGAGGACAGGUGAACCCGACACAGCUCCAGUGAGAUGGGAGGGGGGAAUGCCCAGGAAGGAGAAGAGCCAUGGGGUAGCCCAGCCAAGGCCACCAGACAUCAUUACAUGUCUGGGGCCCUCUCAGGCCGGCGUGGGUUUUACUGCUCCACACACUCUUGUGUUAACUGUCAGUAGAUCAGUGAGAGAGCAACUUUGAUACAGAGGAAACCAUGGCCUGAAAUGGGUCAGCCCAGAAGAAUUUAGUAGUAGGUUCUAUGCUUCCCUCCAGAGCCUCAUGGACGUAGGCAACUUUUUUUUUUUUUCCAACCACACACCCUAGGUAAUGAAGAAAGCUCUCUGAACUGUGUCCUUGCUGGGCACACAGACACCUGCCACAUGCACAUGGUAUGAAAGUCAUGGCUGAGGCAUAGUGAGACUCCUAUCUGAGGCCGGGAAAAGCUAAUGACCCCACAUUUGGUUCAGUCCUUGUGGGGUCCUGACUGGGGUGUGUGCCGCUGUGUUCCCACAGAUGCUCUGUUAGUCCUUUGGCUCUAAGAUAAACAGGCAGAUGUUAUAUUGAAGCCUUUGUUUCUCUUACACGGAGGCAACACUACUGCAGCAGAGCAAACCUUAUUGUAUCAGUGCAUCAACCCCAAGUUCACAUUCAUUACAGUAGGAAAAACUAACACGCGGUGAAUUCUGCCUCCACAAGGCACAAAGACCUUGAUCAGGCAACAAUGAUCAAUGGCCUCAUAUCCAUGUCUUCUUGCAACUCAAGCUUUACCUGGGCACCACCUCCUUGCCCCGACUCCUUGAACUUCAGCGCUCCAAGGACAGCCAGACAUAUGAAGAAAGUGCCAGGCACAGAUGGCAGGCUGCAUAAUUGCUGGCCCCUGAGCGCCUGGAGAGGUUCUCAGGUCCUGGCUGGUAUGGAGUUGUUGCUUCCAUAUUGGAGAAGGUCUGUGAGUCUGGGGCCAGACCCCAUGUCACACUCUGAGAUGAUCUUAGUGAUCAACCUGCAAGUGUUUCUACAGAUUUAUUCUCAGGACAAUUACUUUUUUUAGACAAGUUUCUCUUCUUUCUCAGGGUUCAGCCAUGACUGUUGGUGACCAAACAAACAUUCACAAAUGGCAGUGAUCUUUUCAAUGCCAGCUUAUGAAUCCACACCUCACCACCUCCAGAGGUGGGAAAAGGCACCUCAAUCCAUGAUCCAAUAGUUCUUCCUGCCCUUAACCUCCUCACACACAUUUGGACACUCGGAGAGUGUGGAGGGCACCCAGGGUGCAUGGUGGCAGUGGAGGCCUUGGGAAAACUGGCCAGGAAGCCAAGGAAUGCACCUCAGGUGACUAAAUUUUUUUAUACUUCUGCACUUGCUGGAGAAUGACCCCAAAAUAUUUUUAAAGACAAAUUCUUUGACUACCAACCUAUUCAGCUGAGCCAUGGACACAGAGCAGGUGAACAUUGCCUUUACCUAUGACAUGCCUGAAGAUUCUGAGACCUACCUGCAUCAGGUGAGCUCCACAUGCAGAGGGACCCCCACUCUCCCACCUCCGUACUUUCUGUAUCUUUUCACACUUUACAUCCUCAUCCCUGUCUCUGAGAGUCUUCCCUCUUUGGAGUCUUCUAGUCCUAUCCUCUGCCUCCUUCCAGAUGGCACAUGGCUUGGCCAUCACGUUUGUAUCAGAUGAGAAUGAUACCAGCAUCCUCAGUAUGGGCAGAUCCCCUUGAGGUCAGUGUUAGGAGCUGUCUGAUGAGACAGGCAUCUCCUCCACAGUGAGUGCUGAUCUCAGGAAGCCCUUUAGGUCCUCCUAGUUCCUUAGUAUGUUUGUCUUCAAUCCUGUCAUGUAGGUCAUGGGCACCUCAUGCAUAAUGGACACUUGACUGGUUCAUGCCUGUGGUCUUUCAUGCUGUGUUGGGAUUUUUUUCUGACCCUGAUGUGGGGUAUCUGUCUUCUCUCAUCAUACAACAUCUCUUUCCCCACUCUCAAGUCUGUCCUCUGAACCCGCACAGUACACCAGCAUCUGCAUGUGUGCCAUGUGUUCAUGUCUCAUUUUCAGCUUUUCAUGCCUUAUUCUGACCAUGCCACAUUUCCCCUCAGUUGAACAGACACGAUAGGGGACUCACCCAUUCUGAAAUGUGACCAUCUGCCCUUCAGGAGAGGACAGCAGUGUGGGUGGUACAUGGCACCAUAUUCAAGCUUACUUACGUGGCAUUGGAUGUCGGGACAAGGAAAAAUACUGAGGCACUGUGUGCAUGUUAUUUGUGCAAGAGAAUGUAACUCCUUGACCGUGAAAUCAGGACAAGGAGUGGAGUGUGUGAUAAGGAACACUGAAAACAGCCUCCUGAGAAUGCAGUUGGAGUGCUUUUACAAGGCCACAGGUAUCUCAUGACCCAACCUCAAAAAGCCAUCUAGUGGAUGUUACUAGUUUAACAAGCCCUUUCAGUAAAUACUUGGUGGAGGGGUGCUGGGGCACUCUCUCAGAAGAGUUGUGCCCCGUCCCGCUCAGCUGGAAUUGUCUGAAAACUCAUUCUUGGUGUUCAGUGCAAGAUAUAAGCUUUGCAAGCAGAGUAGCGGUGAAGGAGACCGUGCUACCCCCACCCCUGACAUCGUCUUCCCCCACCCCCUGGUUUCCCACUUCUGCAUCAGCACCACUCCUGAUUGUCAGAAUUUUUAACAUAGCUAAACAUGAAACACAAGUGCAUCUGCAUUAUGUGUGGGUGCUCUCUCAUUUUAUUGUAUUUGGGGUGAGGUUAUUUUAGGGCAUGGUCCAGGGUAAAUUCCUGUAAGGCCUGGGUGCCCUGCUGUGAGGUCAAAGGGGGAUGGGACUAAGACUGCAGAGCCCUGACUCCCCAACUACCUGCCAAUUGCCUACCCUUCGUGGAGGUCUCUUCUGCUUUCCCUGGCCUGGGAGAGGCUGGGGUGUUUCUGAUCCUGGGGUUCCUGUGGGGGGCGGUGGGCAGUAUUUCCAGGGAUGGAGGGUGCCGGGGGCAUCCGUGGGAAGCUUGGGUGUCUGCUCCCAGGUUCUCUCAGUGCCUCUUCAUCUGUUUUUUCAGCUUUUGGAUCUUGAGCACCAGAGCCUGGGCCCACCACCCCCUCCUGCCCUUCCAGCAGGGCCUGGUCCAGCUCCAGCUGCUGCUCUAGCAGCUCCUCAGCUUUGGCCAGCUCAGCUGUGUUGGGGGCUCAGGAUCCUGGUGAGAGGGAGUGGGGGAGGGAGCAUGAGCCAGGGAAGGGGGCUGAGGCCUUAGGAAGCUGUGGUCUGGCUGCAAGUGAGGAAUUCAGCCUCCCUUUCUCUUUUUCCAGCCCAUUAGCUUAAGUCCACCUGUACCGAGAAGUCCAGGGAACUCCCUGUCUCGGGCAUAGGCCUCUGCAGGGCAGGUAGAGAUCGCUGGAUCAGGAUUGUAACUGGACGCCUUCAACAAGGAUAUGGGGUCACUGGAAAAAGAUGACUGACUGUCCCUCCCCACUAAGAAAUAAUUAACUGUUCGAUGAGGGGUUAUUCCUGUUCAAGAAAAUCUCUGGACUGUGCUGCUCUGAAGGGGACGAGGUCUGGGCUGGGCUAGGGUGGGAAGGAGCUGAGAGCUGGAAAUAGGCAAAACGCUGCAGGGGUGAGGGUGGUGAAGGGUGGGAUUGAGAGGCUUCCCCCACUCCUGUGCUGACCCCCUUCACCUCCUCCACUCGCACCCUUGCAGUGACAUGGGAGCUGGCCUUAUCUUCCCACUGCCCCUGAAGCUGUUUGCUCUUCCAUGCUUGCCUUUGGGCUCUGGGAGUAGCAAGUUUAGGAGCCGUGGGGUCCCAGGGACCAGGAGGGCAGGAGGGGAAGGAAACAGCACAGCCAGAGCCAAGGGAGAAGGAGGCAGUGGCAGGUGAGGCAAGGAGCUGUUUGAGCCACUGAGCAGCCACCAGGAGCCGGCUCUCUCCAGGCCUGUCUUCACUUCAGUGCCUGGCCCUGCCCAGAACCCUACUCCUGCUCUGCUCUCAACCUGGCCUCAGACAGGAUCUUGAAAAACUCCUAUUCCUAAUGUGAAAAAUGUUUCUACCAGUUUAGGCAGAACUUGCUUUAGAGCACUGGUGACCAGCCUUCCACAGGUCGUGUCUGUUUUUCUUGACACUGUGUCUUUUUUCAUUUAUUCUUCUGCGAGGAAGGAAUUAUAUCACUGGUUUGCGGAUGAGGAAAUUCAUUCAGCACUCACCCACUGGCCAAGUGUCUGCUUGUGCCAGCUGUGGCUCAGAUGUACUCAAGGCUCUAUAGCUAACUGGUGGAAAGGCCUGGAGGGCUCAUAUUCAGGUUCACUUAACUCGAAAACUCAUAUUGACCUUAUUGAAGUACUGAUUCCCGCUUUGUAAUCCAUGCCACAAACUUCAUUGUCUUAUUUUAAGAAAUUGUCACAGAAGCCUCUAGGAACCACCCUCCUGAUCAGCCAGCGGUCAUCAACAUUGAGGCAAGACCCUCCCCCAGCAAAAAGAUUAAGAUGAGCUGAAGCCUCAGACGAUCGUUAGCAUUUUUCAGCAAUAGAGUAAUUUUAAAUUAAUGUAUCUGCAUAGUUUUUUUACACAUAAUGUUAUUAUACAUUUAG